UCUGCCUACGGGGCGCGGCAGUGAGGAAUAUUGGUCAAUGGCCGAGAGGCUGAACCUGCCAAGUCGCGUGAGGGAAGACGGCCCUACGGGUUGUAAACCUCUUUUGUCGGGGAGCAAAGCGAGUCACGUGUGACUCAUUGAGAGUACCCGAAGAAAAAGCAUCGGCUAACUCCGUGCCAGCAGCCGCGGUAAUACGGAGGAUGCGAGCGUUAUCCGGAUUUAUUGGGUUUAAAGGGUGCGCUGGCGGAGGUGCACGUCAGCGGUCAAAUUGCGGGGCUCAACCCCGUACUGCCGUUGAA
rnacentral:rRNA from 1 species